rnacentral:rRNA from 1 species
CUGCUGCCUCCCGUAGGAGUCUGGGCCGUGUCUCAGUCCCAGUGUGGGGGGCCUUCCUCUCAGGACCCCUACGCAUCGUCGCCACGGUGGGCCGUCACCCCGCCGUCUAGCUAAUGCGCCGCAUGCCCAUCCGCCACCGGAUCGCUCCUUUGGCCACCGGAGGAUGCCCUCCGGUGGCGUCACGGGGUAUUAGGCCGCGUUUCCGCGGGUUAUCCCCCUGUGGCGGCCAGGUUGCAUACGUGUUACUCACCCGUGCGCCGGUCGCCGGCGGG